UACGUAGGGUGCAAGCGUUGUCCGGAAUUACUGGGCGUAAAGGGCUCGUAGGUGGCCAACUAAGUCAGACGUGAAAUCCCUCGGCUUAACCGGGGAACUGCGUCUGAUACUGGAUGGCUUGAGUUUGGGAGAGGGACGCGGAAUUCCAGGUGUAGCGGUGAAAUGCGUAGAUAUCUGGAGGAACACCGGUGGCGAAGGCGGCGUCCUGGACCAACACUGACACUGAUGAGCGAAAGCCAGGGGAGCAAACGGG
rnacentral:rRNA from 1 species